CAAAAUAAUAAAAAAUUCAGAAAAAGAGUAAAGUCACACAUUCGAAAGGUUCGUCUUCUAAUAGCUCGGUUAAGGUUUGUGCUGAAACGUUUGAAAAUGAUACUGAACCGACCACAGCGAUUUGCCCGUGUUUAAAAUUCUGUUGUGUGAAAUUGAACUGUAAUUGGUAAAAUGUAAAUAAACAAACUGGAUAUCAAUGAA